UGCUCUGCUCUUAAAGGGCCAGAACACACCAACUGCAUUCCUCUUUUCUCAUGCAUAAUGAUCACAUCUCUGCAUAUAAUGUUGUGAGGCUCAGUCCCAGCACUUGGAUGAACCUGUGCCCAGAUGACGGCCUCGCUGUUCCCAAGAACAUAGGCUGACUGGAGGCUGCACAUAACAACCUGGCCCUCUGAAGAAAGCUGCCUGGCCUACUAGUUGCCAACCUAUAGGUGCAGGGAAGACGGGCAACGUGGCACCUGUGGCAAAAGAAUUCACUGCCAGGGAGUGAAGGCACCAGCCAUCUUUCCCUCCCACCCGCAGCAAAGUGGCUCUCCAGGAAAACUAGUUGCUGACAAAGCCUCAAAGCCUCGUUUUCAGCUCUGGUGAUGCUUCUUAGUCAUCUCCUCCCUCUUUCCAGUUUAAUGAAUACUUGAGAUCAAGAGUGGAUAAGUUGCAAAGCACUACAGGCCACUCUGGAGACAUGGCAGAGGCAACAGAUAAUUGGCAUAUUCAGUAUUAUGUAAUUAGCACAACUUAAAUACCAUUUGCAGAAGUGUAUCUGGAUGCCCUGCUGCUCUGAUAGACCUGUAGGGUGUUUGGUCUGUGGCAGACUUUCAGCCUGAUCUUAAACAUGUCUCCUCCAAAAUAAAUCCCUCUGAGUUUAAUGGGGCUUCCUGGUAAGUAUGUUUAGGAUUGUGGCCUUAUUUUGUGCCAUCGAUGGGACCUGACAAAUAAGAAAUAGUAACAACCAUCAGUUUGCCCAAAAUAUCAUUGCAGUUCCUUGCGUACUCAGACCAGCCUUUAAUUCCUUUUAUUUCUCAACAACUCCCGAACUCAUAACUGAGCCUGGAUACAUCAGGUUGGCUACUAGUAGGGAUCAGAACACUGGACUAGAUCAACCUUUGGCAUGACCAGCAGAGCUCUUAUGUAUGUUCUUCAACAAGUUGUGAGGUGGCUAGGAAUAUCUCCAACUACUUUGUGGCACCCAUUGUAACUUCAAAGCUAGAUUACGUGAUGUGCUUUGUAUAGGGCUGUCCUGAAUGAGAGUUCAGAGGCUUCAGCUGGUAUAAAUGCCACAUCUUGCCCUUUUAUGGGGGUGGGUUAUCUGGAUCAGAUGAUACAGGUGUUCCAGUGUGAGUGCAGUCUCCCUGUUGCCUUCCAAGCUCAGUUGAAGCUGCUGGUGACCAUCUACAAAGAAUCCCUAAGCACAGGGCCGGAGCCAGGCAUGACUGGGGCCUUCAGCAUCAGCCUGCCCUGGGCCCACGGUGCCUGCAUAGAUGCCCCACCUACAUCACCCGUCACUUCAUGUCAUUCCCUGUGCACUUCGCAUGCAUGGCUGCCAUCAAUCAAGAUGGCAGUGGGGGCUUCCCUAACAGGCUGAUGCCCCCACUGCCAUCUUGGUUGAUGGCAUGCAUGCACACUACGCUACGCACGAACAUGUCUGCUAUCAACCAAGAUGGCAGCAGGGGCAGUAGCCCCUUAGGGAAGCCUCUGCUGCCAUCUUGGUUGAUGGCAGGCAUGUGCACGCUGCUCAGCUCAACUCCACAGAGAUAUCUCAGCUCCAGAGAACCACUUCGAGGUUCCUUUUUAACAACAUUUUUUUAAAAAAAGAUAAUUAUCUUAAAAUGCAUGCAGGUGUCACUUAGGAAAGUUAUUGUCUCUAUUUCACUGUGAAGAGAUAUGUUUCUGGCAAAA